UUCCGGUUGAUCCUGCCGGAGGUCAUUGCUAUCGGGGUCCGAUUUAGCCAUGCUAGUCGUGCGAGUUCAUACUCGCGGCGUAUAGCUCAGUAACACGUGGCCAAACUACCCUACAGACGAGAACAACCUCGGGAAACUGAGGCUAACACUCGAUACGCGUUGGCUGUUUGAAGACACCGACGUUCAAACGCUCCGGCGCUGUAGGAUGUGGCUGCGGCCGAUUAGGUAGAUGGUGGGGUAACGGCCCACCAUGCCGAUAAUCGGUACGGGUUGUGAGAGCAAGAGCCCGGAGACGGAAUCUGAGACAAGAUUCCGGGCCCUACGGGGCGCAGCAGGCGCGAAACCUUUACACUGCACGCCAGUGCGAUAAGGGGACCCCGAGUGAAAGGGCAUAUCGCCCUUUCUUUUCUGAACCGUAGGGAGGUUCAGGAACAAGAGCUGGGCAAGACCGGUGCCAGCCGCCGCGGUAAUACCGGCAGCUCAAGUGAUGACCGAUUUUAUUGGGCCUAAAGCGUCCGUAGCUGGCCGCGCAAGUCUGUCGGGAAAUCCACCCGCUUAACGGGUGGGCGUCCGGCGGAAACUGUGCGGCUUGGGACAGGAAGGCUCGAGGGGUACGUUCGGGGUAGGAGUGAAAUCCCGUAAUCCUGAACGGACCGCCGAUGGCGAAAGCACCUCGAGAGGACUGAUCCGACAGUGAGGGACGAAAGCUGGGGUCUCGAACCGGAUUAGAUACCCGGGUAGUCCCAGCCGUAAACGAUGUUCGCUAGGUGUGUCACUCACUACGAGUGAGUGAUGUGCCGCAGGGAAGCCGCUAAGCGAACCGCCUGGGAAGUACGUCCGCAAGGAUGAAACUUAAAGGAAUUGGCGGGGGAGCACUACAACCGGAGGAGCCUGCGGUUUAAUUGGACUCAACGCCGGU
rnacentral:rRNA from 1 species